rnacentral:rRNA from 1 species
UACGGAGGGGGCUAGCGUUGUUCGGAAUUACUGGGCGUAAAGCGCACGUAGGCGGUCUUUUAAGUCAGAGGUGAAAGCCCGGGGCUCAACUCCGGAAUUGCCUUUGAAACUGGAAGACUUGAACACGGGAGAGGCGAGUGGAAUUCCGAGUGUAGAGGUGAAAUUCGUAGAUAUUCGGAGGAACACCAGUGGCGAAGGCGGCUCACUGGACUCUUGUUGACGCUGAGAUGCGAAAGCGUGGGGAGCAAACAGG